AUAUGCUUCAACAGCUCUAAGAGUUUACUUCUUCUGCGUGGGAAAUUCACUUUUAUUGUUGGUCCAAAAUGAACUCUUCAGCAACAGAGGAUCCCUACAUGAGGGUUUAGGGGAGUCAUGGAAGUCUGGCAGAUCCACACAGAAAUAGGAAAAGUAAAAGAGUCUGCAGCUUAGAGACAUCCCACAAACCAAAUCUGAGCUUUGCGAAGGUGUCCUAUUACUUUCAUUUUGAAAAGUAACAGUAUGACCUCAAAUAAAACAUUUACACCCUCAAGUUAGAGAUGUGACCUCUGUGUCUGGAGUAAGUAAUGGUAAAAUUGAUGAAGAGGAAGGCCAAGCUAUAGUCCCGGAGUGGGCUGAGCUAAGGUUAUUACAGGAAAAGAGAAACCCACAGAAUAAAAAAAAAAACAAGAAACCAUGCAGACAUCGCCAGAGAGCAAGACUGAUGAACAAACCUCCCAGAAAUCAGACAGGCGGCUGAGAAUAAAAGAGGCAAACAGGAACUUCAGUGAGAGGACAAGCCAACUUAAACCAUGCCAAAGGACUCUUUUUGUAUCAGCGGUGAGCGCAGGGCCGUGUUACAGUGUGUAUGCAGUGGAAGACGGGGCAGCUGGCCAAUGCACUCCCAGUCAUGGACCUCGUCAUACAAAACACACUGCAGGAAAACAAAUCAGACGUACACGCAGUCACAUGUGACUAAAGAAAAGAUCUGUAUGGGUCCAAAGAGGAUGCACUAAGCAUAUUUAUUAAGUGAUAUUUGUUUAUUAAGUAAUUUAGUUUUUUACUGAUAUUUGAUAAAACAUUGGAAGAGUAUUAUUGUAAGUCACUUUAAAAAAUAUCAAAUAUAUGAAGGUUUACAGCAUAUGAUCCUUAAUGAC